AUUGAACGCUGGCGGCAGGCUUAACACAUGCAAGUCGAGCGGAGAGAGGUAGCUUGCUACUGAUCUUAGCGGCGGACGGGUGAGUAAUGCUUAGGAAUCUGCCUAUUAGUGGGGGACAACAUUUCGAAAGGAAUGCUAAUACCGCAUACGUCCUACGGGAGAAAGCAGGGGAUCUUCGGACCUUGCGCUAAUAGAUGAGCCUAAGUCGGAUUAGCUAGUUGGUGGGGUAAAGGCCUACCAAGGCGACGAUCUGUAGCGGGUCUGAGAGGAUGGUCCGCCACACUGGGACUGAGACACGGCCCAGACUCCUACGGGAGGUAGCAGUGGGGAAUAUUGGACAAUGGGCGGAAGCCUGAUCCAGCCAUGCCGCGUGUGUGAAGAAGGCCUUAUGGUUGUAAAGCACUUUAAGCGAGGAGGAGGCUACUUUAGUUAACACCUAGAGAUAGUGGACGUUACUCGCAGAAUAAGCACCGGCUAACUCUGUGCCAGCAGCCGCCGUAA
rnacentral:rRNA from 1 species